rnacentral:rRNA from 1 species
GGGGAAUAUUGGACAAUGGGCGAAAGCCUGAUCCAGCAAUGCCGCGUGAGUGAUGAAGGCCUUAGGGUUGUAAAGCUCUUUUACCAGGGAUGAUAAUGACAGUACCUGGAGAAUAAGCUCCGGCUAACUCCGUGCCAGCAGCCGCGGUAAUACGGAGGGAGCUAGCGUUGUUCGGAAUUACUGGGCGUAAGCGCACGUAGGCGGCUAUUCAAGUCGGGGGUGAAAGCCCGGGGCUCAACCCCGGAACUGCCCUCGAAACUAGGUAGCUAGAAUCUUGGAGAGGUCAGUGGAAUUCCGAGUGUAGAGGUGAAAUUCGUAGAUAUUCGGAAGAACACCAGUGGCGAAGGCGACUGACUGGACAAGUAUUGACGCUGAGGGGCGAAAGCGUGGGGAGCAAAC